AAGAGGAAGUGAAAGAGAAUACUCAAUUUGUUCGUAAGAUCAAUGACAGUAAUGCUCAAAUGGACAAGGGAAGAGAAGUUGUGAACAGAGAACUGAAUUCUACAUUUGACACAACCUCAGAGACUUCCCAAGCAACAAAAGGGGACUAUGUUUUCUCAGGUCCAGCACCAGUCAUAGCAUCAAGUGGAUUUGCGUGGGCAAAAAGGCGGAAAGAAGAUGUUGCAUCAACAUUAUCUUAUAAUCAAGAUAUCUCAAUGAGUGAAAUUAGUGCAUUAUAUUCAUCAAGUUUCAACUUUGCGAACAGUUCCUUUAACUUGGCGAAAGAAGAAGAUGAAAGACAUGACUCUCAAGAGGCUACAGCCAAGCACGUGGUGCAGAAGCAGCGACGCCGUUUUGGUUCGUCUGAUUCUUUUGAUGCAUCCAAUUUAUACCAUUUUAAUGAUUCAAAGGCAACUGAUGAAGCAGAUGCUCUGACGAGUUAUCCAGUAAGGGUAAACCAUAACCACAAAAUUUAUCCCCGUUUAGCAAUGAUCUGGAAUAAAUUGUUUCCUGUUUUGCACUAUUUUAGAAGUUAUGGUAUUUGAGACUCACUUCCAUUUCUUACCUUGUUAGAAUUACUUGAAACGAAGAGAGAAUAUUGAAUUUUCUGGACCAUUGUUGUCCCAAUCAAAUAAAAUUGAUGAGCUCUUGCAAAGGAAUGAAAGUCAGAUACGCCAAGCAGCUCGCAGAUCAAGGUUGGAUAGAGAAAUGUGAGGCAUGAAUUCUCCAAGAAGGCAGUGCUCAUGCAAAUUACUAACUUGGGACGUAGUCGGCAGGUGGACUUGGCCUGUGCUUGGGUCUCAUGGUGCUUUCAACUUAUUGGAGAAAUUAAACAACAGCCUCUAGCUGACAUAUUGGUGGUACCUGCCUUCAGGUUUUGAGUUAUGUGUUCAUAUCUAUUGUAUUUAGGAUUAGGAACAAAAGUUUUUAAAUUUGUAUUGUAUAAUGGACAGAUCACAUAGGAAAACAAAAAUCAAUAUAGGAGAGAGUGACACAAAUUUUCAAACCCAACAAAAUCCAAGGGGGAAAAACAAAAGAACUACAACAAAUGAUGCUUGAUAUGAUACUCACUGUCUAAUUCUUUACUUGUAGCUGGCCUUUCUCCUCUUAUGCACAUUCUAGCAGUGAUGGUGGCAAAUAGUUAAUUGUAUGUCCCAACAGUGAUUUUUUUUUGACCCACAACAAGAUAAACUUUCACAAAUCAGAAGGGUUAAAACAUCAGUAUGGAUUAGAGGAGCAACAGAAUCAGGAGCCUCCUCAAUCCAUACAAACUCUAAAACAACACACCAACAAUAUUGAGCUAAAUUGUGAGCGACAAACUCUAGGGACAGAAGACCAUAAACAGCGUUGAAGAGAGGACCCAUACGCAAGACCAACAUCAUCAUGCAGCAGGGACUCCAAACUCAGCUUAUCAAAAACAGGCUUACAAUCAGUUUCAGCCACCACAUGGAAAAAACUCAGCUCAGCAGCUAACUUUAGUCCAAAACGAAUAGCCCUAGCCUCAGCAACCUCUACAGACCAGAUAGCAGCAGCACACUUCGCUGCACAUGCUAGAACAGCACCCAUAUCAUCACGAAAUACGACCCCAAAACCCACCAUUCCUUCAAAACGCAGACAAGCAUCAGAUCACAAUUCAUUUUAAGCAACCAAGGCUGGUGGAGUCCAACUCUCACUUCUCGCUGGGUGAGAAACUGAACCAGCAGAAGCACUAAUAUGUCCCACCAGUGAUUUCAUUUGAGUUAAUUAUAAAAAAAAUUUAAUAAAUGUAAAUUAAAAGAUACUUUGAUUUUUAUUAAUUCAAAAUCGAUAGUUUUACCGAUUUACAUCAAAGCCUUCAUCUCAGAAUAAAGUAAACAUUCCGGAGAGUGUAAAACUGGGUGCCUGGUUUUGCUAGGUGAGUCGGAGAUAACAUUCACAGCUGUAAUUAAACCAUUCAGUAAAUCAUCACGGAAGCAUAAUCAUAAGCAGUAAGAAAACGAUCUAAUACACAAGACUAAUGCCUCCAAGAAAAUUAUCUAUCACCAUUCAUCAAUAAACUCACAUCAAACCCAUCAUGUGCAUAACCGCCUGUGGUAACGGAUUAUGUUUAUAAUUUUCAUGAUAGUGUCAAUAUUAAAAAUGCUAUUAUGAGAACCAGUAUUGAAACAUCAGAUUUCGUUUCCCAUUUUCUUUCCAAAAAUUUCUCAAUAAUAAAGAAAAUUGACUGAUUCCAUAAAAACCAAAAACAGAAUUUAAAAACAAAUAUUGAAGAAGAAAAGGGAAAGAAUCAUAAUUUAUAAAUAUCUUCUUUAGAGAGAGAGAGAGAGAGAGA
rnacentral:misc_RNA from 1 species